AGCUCACCGGAUAAGACAGCUGGAUGAUAGCCGGGACUGGAGACUCUGCUUGACUAGCUGAGAGGAGGUGCAUGGCCGUCGUCAGUUCGUACUGUGAAGCAUCCUGUUAAGUCAGGCAACGAGCGAGACCCACGCCAACAGUUGCCAGCAUGUCCUCCGGGAUGAUGGGGACACUGUUGGGACCGCCUCUGCUAAAGAGGAGGAAGGAAUGGGCAACGGUAGGUCAGUAUGCCCCGAAUAUCCCGGGCUACACGCGAGCUACAAUGGUUGGUACAAUGGGUAUCUACCCCGAAAGGGGACGGGAAUCUCCUAAAACCAAUCUUAGUUCGGAUUGAGGGCUGCAACUCGCCCUCAUGAAGCUGGAAUCCGUAGUAAUCGCGUUUCAACAGAACGCGGUGAAUACGUCCCUGCUCCUU
rnacentral:rRNA from 1 species